GGAUCAGCACGCUGGUCGUGCCUUGGUAUGUACUGGUGUUACUGGUUCCUACCUUCUGACGAACCGUCAUGUCAUUAAUUUGGUGCGGCGGGAAAUCAGGACUGUUACUUUGAAAAAAUUAGAGUGUUUAAAGCAGGCUCGCGCUUGAAUAUAUUAGCAUGGAAUAAUGAAAUAGGACGUUCGAUCCUAUUUUGUUGGUUUCUAGGAUUGACGUAAUGAUUAAUAGGGAUAGUUGGGC
rnacentral:rRNA from 1 species